rnacentral:lncRNA from 1 species
UGAGCACACAUCAGCAUGUUCGUGAACUGUCAAUAAUAGGAGAAAAGCCUUUUUUAAAAGCAAAAGCAGUCUUGCACAGUCAGCAAGGCAGGACCUCAAAAAGGACUGCAUUUCCUGAUACUCAGCUUUGCUCCCUCAUCACUGGCACUGAUUGUCAGUGUCUACAGCGCACAUUCUAAAUGCACUGUCCGUGAGUGUUGCUUUUUUUCACCCCAUGCAUAUUUAUUUUAUGUAUAUGCUUGUAAUACUCUGCGAAUGCAUUAUGUACAUCAUAAAGCAUGGACCAAAAAAUUAGAAUUAAUUUAGUUUAAACAUUUAAAGGAAGAGAGCAAAAUAAAUGGAAAUAAGAGUUGCCCCGCUUUCCACAUCCAGUGGUUCAUUUUGCACACGCCCUGGGCGGCAGACAUCCCAACUUGGAGACGGAUAUUCUAGGCACCCAUCUCUAGGGACCACCUCCCGGGUGAGCGGUCAGGAAAAGUAAGAGUCUCAAGAUUAAGAGCUGUAGCUCCUUUCCUUUGUUGGCUUCCUCUGUCUUCGGUUGGCCAAAACCUAAAAUCGUUUCCACAUCAGACAGUUCAUUUUAAUGGCACUUACAGCCAACAUGCAAAGUCAAGGACGGAUCUUACAGUGACACAGAAGCCACGUCUGGCCUCAGACAUCCGGGGGGCCCAGCUGAGAAAGCUCCGUGGGUGGAAUGCCUCUUAAGCAGGACACAGAAGAAGGGAACAGCAGAGGAAGGCAAGAGGGAAGUUCCGGAUGGACCAGAAGAUCGCAAGCUGCAGGGAGGAGGAUGCGGGAGAGAUGGAGAGAAGCCUUUCUGGGCUGAGGAGAGACUGAGCACCAAGACCGAGCCGUGAUGAGGGGGACAGUCCCCGAGCCGUGGGAUCAUGGGGGACAACCCAUGUUAUUACCUUUUCAAAAGACACCCUUGGAGUUCCCGUCGUGGCGCAGUGGAAACAAAUCCGACUAGGAACCAUCAAGUUGCGGGUUCGAUCCCUGGCCUCGCUCAGUGGGCUCGGCAUCUGGUGUUGCCAUGAGCUGUGGUGUCGGUCAAAGAUGCAGCUCGGGAUCCCGCGUUGCUGUGGCUGUGGCGUAGGCCGGCAGCGACAGCUCCGAUUUGACACCUAGCCUGGGAACCUCCAUAUGCCGUGAGUGCGGCCCUAAAAAGACAAAAGACAAAAAUUUUAAAAGAAAUAAGUAGAUAAAUAGACAUGCUUUAUUUGGGGGGGAAAUCUUUUUUUUUUUAACUCAAUGAAUUUUAUUUUUUAUUUUAUUUUUUUAAUAUAUAUUUUUUUAAUUUUCCCACUGUACAGCAAGGGGGUCAGGUUAUCCUUACAUGUAUACAUUACAAUUACAUUUUUCCCCCACCCUUUCUCAAUGAAUUUUAUUACAUGUAUAAUUGUACAAUGAUCAUCACAACCCAAUUUUAUAGCAUUUCCCUCCCAAACCCCCAGUCCAUCUCUCCACCCCCCCAACCUGUCUCCUUUGGAAAGUGUAAGUUUUUCAAAGGCUGUGAGUCAGUGUCUGUUCUGCAAAGAAGGUCGUUGUGUCCUUUUUUUAGAUCCCAUGUGUGAGCGAGAGCAUAUGACGUUGAACCAAAAUGAUCGCCGAUGCGGGUGGAUCUUAGGGCUGCUUGUGUGGUGAGUGAGAAAGGCCUGUGUGGAAAUGAGGCCAGCAUCCUGGUCCGAGCAGUGGUAGAAAGAGAGAAGGAUGGAAAAAGAAUGAACAGGAGUUCCUGUCAUGGCUCAGUGGUUAACAAAUCCGACUAGGAACCAUGAGGUUGUGGGUUCGAUCCCUGGCCUCGCUCAGUGGGCUAAGGAUCUGGUGUUGCCGUGAGCUGUGGUGUAGGUCGCAGAUGCAACUCGGAUCCCUGGUGGCUGUGGCUCUGGUGUAGGCCGGUGGCUACAGCUCCAAUUAGACCCCUAGCCUGGGAACCUCCAUAUGCCACAG